CUUGGUCAUUUAGAGGAAGUAAAAGUCGUAACAAGGUCUCCGUAGGUGAACCUGCGGAGGGAUCAUUAACGAAUGGCCGUCAGGCCAUCGCACUUCAAGCCCGUGGAUGAGAAAUGUGGCUCGACGACCCGUCUGGUCGUCGCAAUUAUGCAGAUAUGUCGUGGGCGUCAGAAUGAAGACCCAAUGAAUCAAAACUUUCAACAAAGGAUCUCUUGGCUCUCGCAUCGAUGAAGAACGCAGCGAAGCGCGAAAUGUAGUGUGAAUCGCAGAACAUUGUGAAUCAUUGAAUCUUUGAACGCACAUUGCGCCUCGCUUAACAGCGAGGCAUGCCUGUCUGAGCGUCGUAUGAACCCAAUGGGCCCAAGCGGUCCGUGCUGGGCCUCGUCCAUCAUGGACGUCGCCUGAAAGCCAUCUUGGCCCAUGGGCGGACGAGAUCCCUCGGGACUGACCGUCCAUGGAUGCCCUCAUGCCUCUCACGAACCGACCUCAGAUCAGGUAGGACCACCGCCUGAACUUAAGCAUAUCAAUAAGCGGAGGA
rnacentral:rRNA from 1 species